rnacentral:rRNA from 1 species
CUCAUNUAAAAUAUUUUNUAUCNNAAGGCCUUUUUNCACCCCCNGCAGNGGGGUCCCAGNUNCCCAAUUUUCCCAACUUCUGCCUCCCGUAGGCCCCCCGUGCCCCCGCCCCCCCCCCCCCGCGCGGCGGGCGGGGCGGGGGCACGGGGGGCUUACGGGAGGCAGCAGUGGGGAAUAUUGCACAAUGGAGGAAACUCUGAUCCAGCAAUGCCGCGUGUGUGAAGAAGGCCUUAGGGUUGUAAAGCACUUUCAGUAGGGAGGAAAAGNUUAA